rnacentral:lncRNA from 1 species
UAAAAAAAGGGUAUUAACUUUUGGGUUUGGGUUUGGGUUUUAUUCAAUUUUCAAAAAAUUUCCAAAAAACGAAUUCUCUUAUAUAGAAUGGAAGACGUCAGCGAUUACGUUGUCUUCUAAAUCGACACGAUAUCGGAUUAAUUGUAACAGUAUCGGUAGCCUAACGGUCUAUUGUUUUGUACAACAAUACAAAUUACGUAAUAAAAAACAACACAGUAACAAAAGAGCUUGCUUAUAAAUUAAACAUAAAAAAACGAAAUAAAGAUUAAUUGCAGCAAUCACCGAGACACGUUCCACGAACUUAAUCUAACAAUAAAUAUACAAUAUUGCACAUUAAGUUGUGGGGAUUUGACCUUGAGGGGCGCCGAACAGCAUCUGCACGGUGUGUGUGUGUAUGUGUGAGUGCGUGUGGGUGAUACCCUUCAAGGCCCCAUUGCACUGUCCUCCAGCCCGAUGCUGUUGUCUCUCUGCACGUCGCUAUGCUCCUCCGAAUGAGUGCGCUGCCGAGAGCCAAUCGGUGUUAAAGCUUCAGUACCAACCAACGCGACGUAAAGUAACUUAACGUAACGCGGCAAACGCCGAAGCGUAGGGGGCUGCGCUUUGAGCGCGCUUAAAGCUGGAACCAUCUUGGCUCUACAUUCCUUCUCUCCUCCCCCUCAAAGGUAUUGGGUGACGAGAGCGACGAAGUAGAUGCUGCGUUUAACGGUUUACUUUCGACUGACGGUAAAGGCAGCGAUCGCCUUGAUUUUAUACAAGUCACGGCCUCCUGCGCUGACAUUGACGUCGCUCCACGUAAAUGGAGAUAAGCAACAUGCAACAUCCUCAUACACACACACACAUGGUUGUUAUCAUGUUAAUGUAUAAUGCAUUUAUGCCGGAACGCAAGAGGGAAUGGGAACAAGGUCCGACUCCCUUUUCUGUUAUCUCCAGUCACUGGGCUACCCAUUUUUAUGUUUAUCACCUAUUUCCCCUCACUUUAUUGCUGUACUUUAGUCUCUGUAUCUUCUUUUCUGUUUUCUUCGGGUCGUAUCUCUUCCUUGGCGGGUCAACAAUGUUAUAUUCCAAUAGUAUUUACGUGUGUAUGAGAUUUGUUUCCAUUUAAUCUUCUUCCACACGCGCGUGUGUACAUAUGUAUGUAUGUAUGUAAAUACUUAUGUAUUCACGUA